UGGCCACAUUCACUAUGUCUCCUGCC
rnacentral:piRNA from 1 species